rnacentral:rRNA from 1 species
UACAGAGGGUGCAAGCGUUAAUCGGAAUUACUGGGCGUAAAGCGUGCGUAGGCGGCUUUUCAAGUGGCGGGUGAAAUCCCUCGGCUUAACCGAGGAACUGCCUGCCAGACUGGAUUGCUUGAGUCCGGGAGAGGUGAGUGGAAUUCCCAGUGUAGCGGUGAAAUGCGUAGAUAUUGGGAAGAACACCAGUGGCGAAGGCGGCUAUCUGGACGGUUUCUGACGCUAAGACGCGAAAGCGUGGGGAGCAAACAGG